rnacentral:rRNA from 1 species
AGAGUUUGAUCAUGGCUCAGGAUGAACGCUGGCGGCGUGCUUAACACAUGCAAGUCGAGCGAGAAWUAGUUWCYGGAGGCUUCGGCCRAAGGWAACURAGGAAAGCGGCGGACGGGUGAGUAACGCGUGGGUAACCURCCUUAUACAGGGGGAUAACAUAUUGAAAAGUAUGCUAAUACCGCAUAAGCGCACRRGAUCGCAUGAUYUWGUGUGAAAAGCCGAGACGGUAUAAGAUGGACCCGCGUCUGAUUAGCUAGUAGGUGAGGUAAUGGCUCACCUAGGCGACGAUCAGUAGCCGACCUGAGAGGGUGAWCGGCCACAUUGGGACUGAGACACGGCCCAAACUCCUACGGGAGGCAGCAGUGGGGAAUAUUGCACAAUGGGGGAAACCCUGAUGCAGCGACGCCGCGUGAAGGAWGAAGGUUUUCGGAUCGUAAACUUCUAUCAGCAGGGAMGAUAAUGACGGUACCUGACUAAGAAGCCCCGGCUAACUACGUGCCAGCAGCCGCGGUAAUACGUAGGGGGCAAGCGUUAUCCGGAAUUACUGGGUGUAAAGGGUGCGUAGGCGGUAAUGUAAGUCAGGUGUGAAAGCCCGAAGCUCAACUUCGGGAYUGCACUUGAAACUACAUAACUAGAGUACAGGAGAGGUGAGUGGAAUUCCUAGUGUAGCGGUGAAAUGCGUAGAUAUUAGGAGGAACACCAGUGGCGAAGGCGACUCACUGGACUGUAACUGACGCUGAGGCACGAAAGCGUGGGGAGCGAACAGGAUUAGAUACCCUGGUAGUCC